rnacentral:lncRNA from 1 species
CCGCUGGGGGAGAGCCAGGAGCCAGCUUCCCGGUCACCUAAAAAUAUCUCCCCCGCCCUGCCGCAGCUGCCACCUCGCUGCCCGGGCUCGGAUCCUCUCUCGGCUUGGCCACCGGGCAGGGACGCCCCGGAGGUGACUUCAAGUCCCAGAGUCCUCGCUGACACCGGGGCACGGGCCGGGACAGCAAGCUGCCAGCCUCGCGGAAACUCGGGGAGCAGGAGGGCGAGGUCCGGAGACCCCCGAGUUCGAACCCUGACUGCGGCGCUGUGCAACCCCCUCGAUGACGGAGAAGCGCAUCUGGAGAUCUCGCCUUUGAGACUUUGGUGAGCACCGAAGGAACCGGUCACUCAGGGCAAAGCCACAGAGGAACAGACAGCUAGAAGCCAGGAGUCCAGGAGCUGGUGCCCUGGGUAACCAGUGACCAUGAGCGGCUGUCUUCCCGUCACCAGCCUCCGAUGCCUGACGAGAGUGUGUCGUGGCCUGGCGCAGAAGGCUCCCACCUUCCCCAGCCCUCCUGCCGCCUGCUUGCUUCGGACCCUGGCAGAAACCCCGCCCUCUCACCCACUCCUCCCGGGGGACCUGGCAAGUGAUCGGUGGUGCGCUCCUCCCUGUGCUGACAGGGCCCCAGGAGCGGUGGAGAAGCCCUGUCCCCUCCCGGGCCCCUGCCCAGCGCCACCUGCUGGUAGCAGCUCCCAGAGAGCCACCCAAUCACUGCUGGGGCUGAGGCCCCGGCCCCGCCCCGGCUCCCAGGCCCCAAGCUGGCGCUCCCGCCCACAGCUGUGCUCCUGGAGCCCGGUUCCUCGGGGUCCAGCGCUGUCCCAAGAGCCACUGACCCACCAGGGAGGGAAGGUAGAAGUGGAGGCUGCCCCGGCUGGCAGAUGUGUGGUUUCCUGGCAGGAACACGGGUGUUCUCACCACCCGCGGCCCAGGCCACCCUUCCCCCUCUGAAGUCCACACCCGCGGAGUCCCAGUGGCCCUGGAAGGGAGUGGCAGGACCAGGAGCCAAGGGAGCCCUUCUGGGUUCGGUUCCGGGGGCCCCGGGGGCAGAAGCCCAGAGCGGGUUCCCGAGAAGGGCAGGGGUGGGCGAGGACG